GAUGAACGCUGGCGGCGUGCCUAAUACAUGCAAGUCGAGCGAACGGACGAGAAGCUUGCUUCUCUGAUGUUAGCGGCGGACGGGUGAGUAACACGUGGAUAACCUACCUAUAAGACUGGGAUAACUUCGGGAAACCGGAGCUAAUACCGGAUAAUAUUUUGAACCGCAUGGUUCAAAAGUGAAAGACGGUCUUGCUGUCACUUAUAGAUGGAUCCGCGCUGCAUUAGCUAGUUGGUAAGGUAACGGCUUACCAAGGCAACGAUGCAUAGCCGACCUGAGAGGGUGAUCGGCCACACUGGAACUGAGACACGGUCCAGACUCCUACGGGAGGCAGCAGUAGGGAAUCUUCCGCAAUGGGCGAAAGCCUGACGGAGCAACGCCGCGUGAGUGAUGAAGGUCUUCGGAUCGUAAAACUCUGUUAUUAGGGAAGAACAUAUGUGUAAGUAACUGUGCACAUCUUGACGGUACCUAAUCAGAAAGCCACGGCUAACUACGUGCCAGCAGCCGCGGUAAUACGUAGGUGGCAAGCGUUAUCCGGAAUUAUUAGGCGUAAAGCGCGCGUAGGCGGUUUUUUAAGUCUGAUGUGAAAGCCCACGGCUCAACCGUGGAGGGUCAUUGGAAACCGGAAAACUUGAGUGCAGAAGAGGAAAGUGGAAUUCCAUGUGUAGCGGUGAAAUGCGCAGAGAUAUGGAGGAACACCAGUGGCGAAGGCGACUUUCUGGUCUGUAACUGACGCUGAUGUGCGAAAGCGUGGGGAUCAAACAGGAUUAGAUACCCUGGUAGUCCACGCCGUAAACGAUGAGUGCUAAGUGUUAGGGGGUUUCCGCCCCUUAGUGCUGCAGCUAACGCAUUAAGCACUCCGCCUGGGGAGUACGACCGCAAGGUUGAAACUCAAAGGAAUUGACGGGGACCCGCACAAGCGGUGGAGCAUGUGGUUUAAUUCGAAGCAACGCGAAGAACCUUACCAAAUCUUGACAUCCUUUGACAACUCUAGAGAUAGAGCUUUCCCCUUCGGGGGACAAAGUGACAGGUGGUGCAUGGUUGUCGUCAGCUCGUGUCGUGAGAUGUUGGGUUAAGUCCCGCAACGAGCGCAACCCUUAAGCUUAGUUGCCAUCAUUAAGUUGGGCACUCUAAGUUGACUGCCGGUGACAAACCGGAGGAAGGUGGGGAUGACGUCAAAUCAUCAUGCCCCUUAUGAUUUGGGCUACACACGUGCUACAAUGGACAAUACAAAGGGCAGCGAAACCGCGAGGUCAAGCAAAUCCCAUAAAGUUGUUCUCAGUUCGGAUUGUAGUCUGCAACUCGACUACAUGAAGCUGGAAUCGCUAGUAAUCGUAGAUCAGCAUGCUACGGUGAAUACGUUCCCGGGUCU
rnacentral:rRNA from 1 species